CCUAGGUCUUGACAUACCGAUGACAGGUCUAGAGAUAGAUUUUCCCGUUUAGGGCAUCGGAUACAGGUGGUGCAUGGUUGUCGUCAGCUCGUGUCGUGAGAUGUUGGGUUAAGUCCCGNAACGAGCGCAACCCCUAUUGUUAGUUGCCAUCAUUAAGUUGGGCACUCUAGCGGGACUGCCAGUAAUAAACUGGAGGAAGGUGGGGAUGACGUCAAAUCAUCAUGCCCCUUAUGACCUGGGCUACACACGUGCUACAAUGGGAAGUACAACGAGUUGCGAGGCGGUGACGCCAAGCUAAUCUCUUAAAGCUUCUCUCAGUUCGGAUUGUAGGCUGCAACUCGCCUACAUGAAGUCGGAAUCGCUAGUAAUCGCGGAUCAGCACGCCGCGGUGAAUACGUUCCCGGGCCUUGUACACACCGCCCGUCACACCACGAGAGUUUGUAACACCCGAAGUCGGUGAGGUAACCGUAAGGAGCCAACCGCCUAAGGUGGGAUAGAUGAUUGGGGUGAAGUCGUAACAAGGUAGGCGUAGAUGA
rnacentral:rRNA from 1 species